rnacentral:misc_RNA from 1 species
GAACUGAUGAUCAUAAUUUGUGUACCAAAAUAGGUAAGCUUACAGAGGCCACCUCAAUGCACACCUACAGCCUAAUAAUUCACAUUCGCUUAAUCAUGGAACAGAGAUAUACAACAGUAUUUAACCAAAAGAAGUUUAAUUACACAGAGACCUGGUAAAGCUACAAAAGUCAGAUCAUACAGAAUACUCAAGCGAACUUAGGUUUCGGCAUGGGCAUUGAUAAAACAUUUUGAUGUAAUGAAGCAUUUUGAUGUACGUGACCAAGCUUUUGGAUCCAAUGAUGAAGCCCUUUCUUGUGAUCUAGACACAUCGUCUUCUGAACAAGAUUUAGAGUUCCGUCAUAAGCGACUGAUGAUUCAAACUGCUCCAAUACCUUCACAAUCUGCCAAAACUCAGGUCUCUUAUCUGGUUGCAGAGCCCAACACAGCUCAAUUAAAGCUCUCAUGGCUGUAGGGCAGUCCCCAUGAAUAGGUGGUCUCAUAUUCUUGUUUACAACAGCAAAAGCAGCCUGUACUGGUGUCAUAUCUUCAUAAGGAAUGGUACCAGACACCAUUUCCCAUAGGAUGAGUCCAAAGCCAUAUACAUCAACCUUUCUUCCGUAUGAUUUUCUCUUAAUCAUCUCUGGUGCCAUCCAACGGUAAGUGCCUGGAUCAUCCGCCAGGAGAUCACAGUAUGCCUCCUCACAAGCAAUUCCAAAGUCAGCAAUUUUCAGGUGAAAAUCCUCAUCGAUAAGAAUAUUCUCUGGUUUGAGGUCCCGAUGAAUAAUGCCUUGCGAGUGGAUAUAUUCCAUUCCAAGAGCAAUGUCCAUGGCAAGUGCAAGCAAUUUGUCCAGGGAUAGGGACUUAUGCUCAAGCUUAUGAAGGUGCGCUCUCAGAGAACCCUCAGAUAUAUACUCAGUAACAACACAAAAAACUGGUGGUUGUUUGCACGCACCUACGAACUUUAUAAUAUUUGGAUGGUGGAGACGAGACAAGAGAGUAACUUCUCUAAUAAACUGGUUCUCCAAUCGAAUUCCUAACGCUCCAAUUUCGUCAUCAUCUGGUACUCUUAUAAUUUUCACUGCAACAGCUUCAUCCUUGUAUUUCCCAUGGUAAAGCUGACUGUGUGCACCGUGUGCAAAUCUUAGCCCAAGAAACAGCUUAGAAAGAUCAAUUGUAUAUUCAUCUGCUGUUUCCACAGAACUCACCCUCCCAACACCAUGAUCAAAGUACCUACUCCAUGCUGAAUCCUUU